rnacentral:rRNA from 1 species
CCUACGGGAGGCAGCAGUGAGGAAUUUUCCGCAAUGGGCGAAAGCCUGACGGAGCAAUACCGCGUGAGGGAUGAAGGAUUUUGGUCUGUAAACCUCUUUUCUCAAGAAAGAAGUUCUGACGGUACUUGGGGAAUAAGCAUCGGCUAACUCCGUGCCAGCAGCCGCGGUAAUACGGGGGAUGCAAGCGUUAUCCGGAAUGAUUGGGCGUAAAGCGCCUGUAGGUUGUUUAUUAAGUCCGUUGUUAAAGCCUAGGGCUCAACCCUAGAAAAGCAAUGGAAACUAGUAGACUAGAGUAUGGCAGGGGUAGAGGGAAUUUCUAGUGUAGCGGUGAAAUGCGUAGAUAUUAGAAAGAACACCGGUGGCGAAAGCGCUCUACUGGACCAUUACUGACACUCAGAGGCGAAAGCUAGGGUAGCAAAAGGGAUUAGAUACCCCUGUAGUCCUAGCCGUAAACGAUGGAUACUAGAUGUUGUGCAUUAUAGUACUAGUAUACGUAGACUAACGUACGUUAAGUAUCCGUCCGUCGGGUAGGUACGUCGUCGCGAGGUAGGUAACGUACGAAGAAAGUAGUACGGCGUGAGACGUGUCCGACGGACGACGACGAGGGGAGGUAGG